AUUGAACGCUGGCGGCAGGCUUAACACAUGCAAGUCGAGCGGAUGAAGGGAGCUUGUUCCUGGAUUCAGCGGCGGACGGGAGAGUAAUGCCUAGGAAUAUGCCUCGUAGUGUGGGAUAACGUCCGAAAACGGGCGCUAAUACCGCAUACGUCCUGAGGGAGAAUGUGGGGGAUCUUCGGACCUCACGCUAUCAGAUGACCCUUGGUCGGAUUAGCUAGUUGGUGGGGUAAAGGCCUACCAAGGCGAAGAUCCGUAACCGGGCGGAGGGGAUGGACCGUCAGAAUGGGAAUGGGAACCGGCCCAGACGCCUACGGGAGGGAGCAGUGGGGAAUUUUUGGAGAGGGAGGAAAGGCUGACGGAGCAAAGCCGGGGGGUGGGAGAAGGGCUUUGGGUUGUAAAGCUCGGUUAAUCGGGAAGAAAGGGCUUUUUGCGAAUAGUGUGAAGGAUUGACGGUACCAAAAGAGAAAGCCACGGCUAACUACGUG
rnacentral:rRNA from 1 species